AGAAAGAAAUAUUUCAGAGUUAUUUAAGAUAAGAAAGAAAUUAUUAUAUAUUAUUGUAGUAUCGUGGACAAAUGGCCUAAGAAAUAUCUGGUGAAUCAUAAACAAUAUUGCGGGAAGGGCUAAGUGCCGUUAGAAAGAGCCUGGCAGUUUUUACCGGGGAGUCGAGUGCGGAGGAGUCGAGUUGAGUAGUCGUGAGUUGAGAGUUGAGGCGUGAGGAAUCGAGUAGUCGUGAGUUGAGAGUCGAGAGUUGAGUUGCCGAGUUCUUACGAGUUGUAAACUAUUAGUUGUGAGUUGUGAAUUAACUAUUUAGAUCUAGCACAUUACUGUAUUUAGUUCACGUUAAGUAAUCAUCGUUUCUUAUCUAAUCCAUUGUAAAUAGAUCUAUCGAUCGAUAAACUUAUUAUAUAGGAUAAAUAAACAAUUCCUAUAUUAUAUUA